rnacentral:lncRNA from 1 species
GUUUGAUUAUCUUCAACCAUAUAAUCAAUAGGUUUGUGUAAUGGUUUACGGUUUCUGAUGAUGGAAGGAGGGACUGGAGGGUUGGCUGAGAUGUUUAUAAGGUAGGAUGUGAGAAUAUCCAUGUAUUAUAUUAUAUGACUAGUGAGGGGAUAAUCAUAGGAAGUUGGCUGUUGGUAGGAGAAACAAGAGAGAGGCAACCCCAUGCAAGACUCCCUGUUAACCUUAGCAACAGGAUAACUGUUAGCACCCCUAGUAGAGAAACCUCUGGUGCAGCCAGGCCACAGGGACUGGUGACGUCUUACCAGGUCCUUAUUGUUGUCUCUUGAUAGAAGUGGCGAUAU